UGGGUCCUAAGCAUCCCUGCAUGCUUAGUUUUGGUAAUGAGGAUGUGAUGUUGUGAUAAAGACAUGGCUUUCUGGAAGAAGGACAAAGGAUCUCACAGGCCACUUUCAGGGAUAUUGUUAGAUUCACAGGGAUCUGUUAGCAGAUGUUCUCACCCAGUGGGGCCCCACUUUCCUACCUGUUGAUAAAAGUUUACAGGCUGAGUGGUGAGAGUAGGAUUGAAACAAGCCCCUGGAUGUGGCCUUGGUUAUUGUUCACACUCUUCCAGGUGAAGACAAAAGAAUGUAAUAAAAAUGGGGCAGGAAGCCUUGCAUCCUAGCCAAAAAGUAAUCCUGAGCCAAGGAGCUCCCAAAGCUGAGAAAAGUCAGUAAUGAAGAUAUAGCUUUCUGUGGAGCAAAAAUAGUAUAUAUUCAAAAGAACCCAAGUGCUCACAGGAUGCCAAGAGGCAUAUGAGGAGGGAGGCAGUACCAACUCUGGCGCGAAAGACCAAGGAAGGAAAAAAAUCUUCCCUACCAUUCCCUAUGACACCCUGCCCUCUCCAAUCUUCUGAAUGAGGAUUAGCAUGAUCUCCUGGUGGCUGUGGCUUUAGCCCCUGAUGUGCAUAAAUGAAACUCCUUGGUCUGUGUUCCUGCAGCAGAAAAAAUGUGCCCAAAUUCAAUUGAUGGGUUUGCAGUGCAAAAGGAGCUGACAUGUAGGGUUUUUGAGCCAAUUUAGUAUAUCACUGCGGUUCCUAAUGCUUACUGUGUAAUUGACAAGGAUAUUUUACAUGCCUAUACUGAGAACACUCAUGUAUUAAAGGGGAUUCUCCCAUUCAGGGACUGUCACAUAGAAGUGACCGCAGUUCCCUUCUAUCUGGUUCAACAGAAACAACAGAGAAUCUAGGAGAAGAGGAAAUCAUAGCUUUAAAGACUUAAUGGCUGUCGGAGAACUCAGAGUGGACAAGGUCGGGAGGCAGAAAGGAAUGAGCCUUGUACUGAGAGCUGGGCUUCAAGGACUGAUUCAUCUUUCAAAGAUAACUUUGAUGGUGGGGAAAAAAAAUCAUAAUAUGUAGAUACUUACAUAUUGUGCAAUUACUAUCUGCCAGCCAUGGAACUAGAUUCCAUACGACCAUUAUUUCCUACAAGAGAAUAACUUCCAAGGUUUAACAAUGAUUAUUUAUAUCCAGAUGAAUGGACAAAAAAAGAUGGCUAGAUGUAUUUGUUUUAACUGAAAUCAAGUAAGUUCAUUUUCUAUUUCUGCAUUCUUGUAUGUUUUACUUAAAAUUACAUAAAACACUUAUGAUUAAAAUAUACCAAAUUAACUUCCGGUGUAGUCAUGGGGGCUAAUGCUACUACCAACCUGUUACAGCUGCUGCUGCUAGAACUUGUGGACAAAUGUAUAGGAUCAAGAAUUUACACUGUGAUGAAGAGUGAUAAGGAAAUUGUUGAUACACUUCUAGGAUUUGAUGACUUUGUCAAUAUGGUGCUGGAAGAUGUUAAAGAGUUUGAAAUCACACCAGAAGGAAGAAGGACUACUAAAUUAGAUCAGAUUCUGAUAAAUGGAAAUAAUAUAACAAUGCUGGUUCCUGGAGAAGGAACUGAAGUAUGAAUGGGUUUCCUUGACUUAUGUUAGAUUCUGUUUUGUCUUAUAAUGGCAACAAAAUAUAAUUUUUUUUACCUUCUAAUGUUUUAGAUCCUAUAAAGCUAAGUUUCCCAUUAAAGGGAAAUGCUUUGAAAAUGUAUGCCCAUUUUUAUAAGUUAAUCAUGAUUAUCUUGGAAAAGGAAGAAAGGAAUUCUUUUCCGAAGACCAAAAUAAAGGUGUUUUUGGUUAAAUAAAAUAAAAUACACCAAAUUAAUUUUUUAAAUCUUCAAUAUAGACUCAGCUUGAGAACAAGAGGUGACAUAAAAAAUCCAGAAAAUGUUGGAUAUUUCAAAAGACAGAUACUUCUUCCCAACAUCUAUUAGAACAUUUAGAAGUUUUCUUACUUGCCAGCCCCCCACCACAUAAAAUCCUCCCCCAUGUAAUUGGAAUCUCCAAGUUCAAACUCUCAUCUAACCAUCUCCCUCCCAUGAACUCAUCAUUCCACAAACUCUCCUUCAGGUUUACUCUUCUUGGUCAUAAAUGGCUCUGGGGAACCCAGAAGCUACCCAGGACUCACAAGUUCUGGAUUCUAAGGUUCUAAGAGCCCAUGAUCCCUUUAAGAUUCAUAAUAAAUCCUCAUCCCUCCCCUCUCCUCUUCCCUUCCUGGAGAGAGGCUUACUCUAGGGCCUAACACCUGAAUCACAGAAGCCAGUUGUGGGGGCCUUGAUUCCCACCCCUUUCCCUAAGGCCUGGAAAGAGGUGUCCCUGAGGUCAAGGUAUAAAGGGCCCCCUCAAGAGGGGAAAGAAGGGGCAACAAGGCAGGGGAGAGGAGGGAAUGACAAUGGAGAGGAAACAGCUCCAGAAAACCAGGACCCCUGGGAUUGAAUCAAGACAGCACUCCCACAAAGCCUCAUGGGAAAGUGGCCUCUAAAGGCAGACCUCCUAAGAUGCUACCCUGCAGGCACCACUCAAUAAUAAAGGAAAAUUUGGGAUACAAAGAGAGAAGUCUGUACUGAAGAACAAGUCUGAGGGACAAAGGAGCAUUCCCUCGUGUGCACUGAGAGAGAAGUCUGCAUUGAGGGAUAAAGCUCAAAAAAAGGGGCGAGGCCUUUGUAGGGCUAAAUAAAACCACCAAGAAAUGGGCAGAGCCAGAGACAUUUAGGGGUGGGCCUGAAGGAUGAGGUCAGCAGGGAAACAGGGACUACUUUGAUCUCAGUUGUACUUAUUUGGCCUUGCAGCCAUUCAAAUAUGAGACCCCUUAUUCUUCAGAAAUAAGUCAUCAGUCCUUACCCCCAAAGAUUCAGCUAUUCCUUCCUCCAUCCCUCCUCCUUCCACAACCCUUUAUUCUGAAGAUCUUACAACAUCUCAAGCUUGCAGAGAUGGAGCCGUUACAGACCUGAUUUCAAUCACUUUUCCAGAAGACACAAGAAAGAGGGACUCCUGCACCCAAAGUUAUCUGCCCUGGCCUGGACAGAGGUCCUCUCUGCAUCUCUUCCUGUGACUGCCUGGACUGGUGUCUCUACAGUGUCUAUUGUGGAUUUAAUACAAAAUAAACAUUUUUUUCUUCCCCUCAUAAUUAAAGCAGAUAUAAGAUUGUUAAUUUCUCCAUUUUUGUUUUCCAGUGGGAGAAGCAGCUUUGAGAUCACAUGGAAUAAUGGUGUCCCCCUCCUUCCCUGCUCAGCAACCCCAAAGAAAACACAAACACACACUUCCCUCUGUGGCUUUUAGCUAAGGCAGCAUAAUGGUGGUAGACCAGGCAGUAGAGCCUGAUCUGAAAUGUGGUGGGAGAACCUACAUUCCAGGUACUCCUAGCCUUUACCUCCAACCAGGCUAACCUUGACAAUUCCCUGGAGAACAACCACUUCCAGUGAGAGAGAGCAGACAUCGGCUUCUGGACCAGCUACUCUUUUUCUCUCUCCUCCUUCUUCCUCUCCAGCAUCAAAACCAAGCCAAGUUUUGGGGGGUUAUACAGUCAUCCUUCUCCUUCCUCUCUUGUCAAAUAAAGACACUGGGGCUUGAGUGGACAGCUCUCCAAGGUAC